CACCCCCAGCCCUCCCCCGCCAACCCACCAGCAGUGUAUUUAUUGUAUUGAGAGUGCAGGUCUCUCUCUCCCUCUCUCCCCCUCUCUCUCCCCGCUUCCUAUUUUCUCCCUCCACCUCUCCUCUCCUUCCCUUCCUCUCCCCCGCCCACCCCCACCAAGGGCGUUGUGAAUAAUCUUACUAAUCUGUGCCAUUUGUAGGUUAAAGGCUGCCUCUUCUCCCUGUGGUUUGGUUUAAAAAGCAUUUUCAUUCUCUCUUUGUUUACUGCACAGGUGGUACAAUUUCAUGGUAGAAUCAUCAGAAAGGAGAAGGAUAUCAGAUGAGGGAAGAAACAAGAGAGCUUAUGAAACGUCAUCUUCAGUGCCUGCAGAGUGCUCCAGUGUAUCCGUGGACCUUAACAUUUCUGUAAUCAUUCCCGCAUUGUUGGACAUUCAGGUGGUGCCUAGUUCUUUCCCUGUGUUUAAGACCAACAUUGUGUGCUCUGUGCUUUGAUGAGUGAAUCCUUCCUUGUCAAGCCAAAUCUUUGCUAGCAUCCCGGUGGUCUCCUUAACUGCGGACUUGCAAGAUCCACAUAUAGACAUUUUAAAGACUUUUCCUGUGUGUUGCCAAAAGGCCCCCUUCAUAAGCAUUGUACCGAUUUGCACUCGUGCCGGCCAGCGCAGCUAGUAAA
rnacentral:lncRNA from 1 species